AUUGAACGCUGGCGGCAUGCUUUACACAUGCAAGUCGAACGGUAACAGGCCUUCGGGUGCUGACGAGUGGCGAACGGGUGAGUAAUGCAUCGGAACGUACCCAGAGGUGGGGGAUAACGCAGCGAAAGCUGUGCUAAUACCGCAUGUGAUCUGAGGAUGAAAGCGGGGGACCGAGCAGCAAUGUUUGGCCUCGCGCCUUUGGAGCGGCCGAUGUCGGAUUAGCUAGUUGGUGGGGUAAAGGCCUACCAAGGCGACGAUCCGUAGCUGGUCUGAGAGGACGACCAGCCACACUGGGACUGAGACACGGCCCAGACUCCUACGGGAGGCAGCAGUGGGGAAUGUUGGACAAUGGGCGCAAGCCUGAUCAAGCAAUGCCGCGUGCGGGAAGAAGGCCUUCGGGUUGUAAACCGCUUUUGGCAGGAACGAAACGGUGUCCGCUAAUACCGGGCGCUAAUGACGGUACCUGCAGAAUAAGCACCGGCUAACUACGUG
rnacentral:rRNA from 1 species